GCCGGGCAUGAUGGUGCAUGCCUGUAGUCCCAGCUACUCAGGAGGCUGAGGCUGAGGCUGGAGGAUCGCUUGAGUCCAGGAGUUCUGAGCUGUUAUGUGCUGUGCUGAUAGGGUGUCCGCACUAAGUUCGGCAUCAGUAUGGUGACCUCCUGGGAGCAGGGAACCACCAGGUUGCCUAAGGAGGGGUGAACUGGCCCAGGUUGGAAAUGGAGCCGGUCAAAACUCCCGUGCUGAUCAGCGGUGGGAUAAUGCCUGUGAAUAGCCACUGCACUCCAGCCUGGGCAACAUAGGGANNNNN
rnacentral:SRP_RNA from 1 species